ensembl:lncRNA
GUUGAGUUUCACCCAGCCAAGUCAGAAAGGAAGAGUAAGGAGUGACAGAAACCCCUGAGUUCCUGAGACGACGGUGCCCCUGGGCCAAGCCCCACGACCUGCAGCUCCCACCUCCUCUUCCGCCCGAUCCCACCAUGCCCGGCAGGGCGAGGCGCGGAAAAAGUGUCUGUGAAGUGUGUCUUCGUGGGUGGGCCUGAGGCAGCUCAGAAGUCCUCCUUGAGUGUGGAUCACACAGAAGCAAAGGAGUCCCAAAAGAGACCACAGGAGGAAGAAGGGCCUCUCAGCAGAGGCGAGAGAUAAGACCCAGGCUAAGCCAGCCCUCCUGCUCCCAGACGCCCCAUUUCAGCACCGCAUGCCUCCCAGAGAACAGAUGCAGCCUUGAGGUGGAGGACCCUGACUGGACCAAGGGAGCAGGUUCACGGCGGGUCUUGGACAGGACAAGCAUUACUAUUCACCAGCAGCCCUGGGAACUCUCCCUGAGGCCUCCACUCCAGUCAUUUCAUAACCUGGCAAGAAUCGUGUCACCUUCCGGGGUUUUCAGCACUGAUGACACUCUUGUUUCCUCAUGAAAAAGCCUGGGUCACCUGAGGACGCUUCUUGCAUGGAUCCAGCUGGCCUGCACCUUCCUGUCACCAAUUCCCUGUGUUCCCUCCAGGGGCGCUGAGCAUCGUUUUCACUGUGAUGAAUACACUGUAACUGAACUAGUUACGAGGAUUAAAAAACAAGUCUUUGCAAUCUGCUAAGUAACGCCUUGAGCCCUUGUCCUCUUUCAAAAAGGAAGACAGCAACUGAUACCCCACCAGGUUUUAGCUGGGCUUACUGAAAAGCCGUAUUUUUAUUUUUAUUUAUUUUUCUUACUUCUUAUUUUGUAUUGGGAUAUAGUCAAUUAAUAAUGUUGUGAUAGUUUCAGGCAAACGGUGAAGGGACUUGGCCAUACAUAUACAUGUGUCUGUACUCUCUCAAACUCCUCUCUCACCCAGGCUACCACAUAACAUUGAGCAGAGUUCCAUGUACCAUAACUUUUUAAAAAUACAAGUGUAAUAUGAACCAGCCACACAUCUCAAUAUUUCACCUGCUUGUAGAGAACAUGUCUCCAAAAAAGGCUUUGGGGAAGAGCACUGCAGUAUAAGGGCAAUGAGGUCAGAU